rnacentral:rRNA from 1 species
CUGGUACAAUGCGAAGCGAAGCAGUGAUGUGAAGCAAAUCGCACCAAAGCCAGUCCCAGUUCGGAUAAGAGGCUGAAACUCGCCUCUUUGAAAUCGGAAUCGCUAGUAAUCGCAGAUCAGCAUGUUGCGGUGAAUACGUUCCCGGGUCUUGUACACACCGCCCGUCAAACCAUGAGAGUCACCAACACCCGAAGUCCGCCUUGGCGGCCUAAGGUGGGGGAGAUGAUUGGGGUUAAGUCGUAACAAGGUAGC